UACGGAGGGAGCUAGCGUUGUUCGGAAUUACUGGGCGUAAAGCGCACGUAGGCGGCUUUGUAAGUUAGAGGUGAAAGCCUGGAGCUCAACUCCAGAAUUGCCUUUAAGACUGCAUCGCUUGAAUCCAGGAGAGGUGAGUGGAAUUCCGAGUGUAGAGGUGAAAUUCGUAGAUAUUCGGAAGAACACCAGUGGCGAAGGCGGCUCACUGGACUGGUAUUGACGCUGAGGUGCGAAAGCGUGGGGAGCAAACAGG
rnacentral:rRNA from 3 species